rnacentral:rRNA from 1 species
AGAGUUUGAUCCUGGCUCAGGAUGAACGCUAGCGGGAGGCCUAAUACAUGCAAGUCGAACGGUAACAGGGGUAGCAAUACCUGCUGACGAGUGGCGCACGGGUGAGUAACGCGUACACAAUCUGCCUUAUACUGGAGCAUACCCCCAAGAAAUUGGGAUUAAUUCUCCAUAAUAUAUCGAAAAGGCAUCUUUUUGAUAUUAAAACUCAGGUGGUAUAAGAUGAGUGUGCGUCUGAUUAGCUAGUUGGUGAGGUAACGGCUCACCAAGGCAACGAUCAGUAACUGGUCUGAGAGGAUGAUCAGUCACACGGACACUGAGACACGGGUCCGACUCCUACGGGAGGCAGCAGUAGGGAAUAUUGGACAAUGGGCGCAAGCCUGAUCCAGCCAUCCCGCGUGAAGGAUUAAGGCCCUCUGGGUUGUAAACUUCUUUUCUCUGGGAAUAAAAACCGGUAUUCAUAUCGGCUUGAAGGUACCAGAGGAAUAAGCACCGGCUAACUCCGUGCCAGCAGCCGCGGUAAUACGGAGGGGUGCAAGCGUUAUCCGGAUUCACUGGGUUUAAAGGGUGCGUAGGUGGCUUUGUAAGUCAGUGGUGAAAUCUUAGAGCUUAACUCUAAAACUGCCAUUGAUACUGCUUAGCUUGAAUCAAGUUGAGGUGGAUGGGAAUAUUACAUGUAGCGGUNAAAUGCUUAGA